rnacentral:rRNA from 1 species
GUGUCUAUACCUUAUAGUAUCCAUCUCGUAUGGAUUAAGCUUUAUGCGCUUUGGGAGGGGCCUGCGUUUGAUUAGCUAGUUGGUGAGGUAAAAAGCUCACCAAGGCGACGAUCAAUAGCUGGUUUGAGAGGAUGACCAGCCACACUGGGACUGAGAUACGGCCCAGACUCCUACGGGAGGCAGCAGUAAGGAAUCUUCCACAAUGGGGCAACCCUGAUGAGCAAUACCGCGUGCAGGAUGAAGCGUUUCGGCGUGUAAACUGCUUUUAUCACCGAAGAUUAUGACUGUAGGUGAAGAAUAAGGACCGGCUAACUACGUG